GACGAACGCUGGCGGCGCGCUUAACACAUGCAAGUCGAGCGAAGCGGCGGACGGGUGAGUAACACGUGAGUAACCUGCCUUAGACAUUGGGAUAGCCUCGGGAAACCGGGAUUAAUACCAAAUGGUCUAAGAUGUACUCGCGUCCCAUUAGCUAGGUGGUGAGGUAACGGCCCACCAAGGCGACGAUGGGUAGCCGGGCUGAGAGGGUGAACGGCAACAUUUGAACUGAGAAACGGUCCAAACUCUACGGGAGGCAGCAGUGGGGUAUAUUGCACAAUGGAGGGAACUUUGAUGCAGCGACGUCGCGUGAACGAAGAAGGCUUUCGAGUCGUAAAGUUCUUUUAUAUGGGAAGCGGUACCAUAAGAAAAAGCCCCGGCUAACUACGUGCCAGCCGCCGCGGUAAUUC
rnacentral:rRNA from 1 species